UCUGGCCUUCUGCAGCACCGCCGUGUAGACGUG
rnacentral:SRP_RNA from 1 species